UGGACCUCAGAUCAGGCAAGAUCACCCGCUGAGUUUAAGCAUAUCACUAAGCGGAGGAAAAGAAACUAACGAGGAUUUCCCUAGUAACGGCGAGCGAACCGGAAGUAGCCCAGCUUG
rnacentral:rRNA from 2 species